GAGUGGAUGAUGGGGCCCAAUGAGCACCCACACUCCAAUUAUAACCCCAAAUCUUUGCCUAUAAAUAAGGCCUUGUACUUUCUAAAAACAUAAGCAAUUUUCCAAUCUUGUAUAAGAAAAACUUUCUUUCAAAAAACUCUCUCCCAUAUAUUCUCUCAUAUAUUCUCUCUCAAUUUACAUACUUAAAUAUCUAGCAUCAACUAAGAAAAUAAUGGAGCAAAAUAAGGUACGUAAAUUUAUGGCAAGCUAAAUUUUCUGUGGCAAGAUUUUAGGAAAGUAUUAAUAAUGCUAAAAUGAUAAUGAUCCUGUGAACACCGGGAGUUCAGUGUAACAUUAGUUUAAA
rnacentral:lncRNA from 1 species